AGUCGUAACAAGGUUUCCGUAGGUGAACCUGCGGAAGGAUCAUUACCGAGUGCGGGUCUUUAUGGCCCAACCUCCCACCCGUGACUAUUGUACCUUGUUGCUUCGGCGGGCCCGCCAGCGUUGCUGGCCGCCGGGGGGCGACUCGCCCCCGGGCCCGUGCCCGCCGGAGACCCCAACAUGAACCCUGUUCUGAAAGCUUGCAGUCUGAGUGUGAUUCUUUGCAAUCAGUUAAAACUUUCAACAAUGGAUCUCUUGGUUCCGGCAUCGAUGAAGAACGCAGCGAAAUGCGAUAACUAAUGUGAAUUGCAGAAUUCAGUGAAUCAUCGAGUCUUUGAACGCACAUUGCGCCCCCUGGUAUUCCGGGGGGCAUGCCUGUCCGAGCGUCAUUGCUGCCCUCAAGCCCGGCUUGUGUGUUGGGCCCUCGUCCCCCGGCUCCCGGGGGACGGGCCCGAAAGGCAGCGGCGGCACCGCGUCCGGUCCUCGAGCGUAUGGGGCUUCGUCUUCCGCUCCGUAGGCCCGGCCGGCGCCCGCCGACGCAUUUAUUUGCAACUUGUUUUUUUCCAGGUUGACCUCGGAUCAGGUAGGGAUACCCGCUGAACUUAAGCAUAUCAAUAA
rnacentral:misc_RNA from 1 species